rnacentral:rRNA from 1 species
UACAGAGGGUGCGAGCGUUGUUCGGAAUUAUUGGGCGUAAAGGGCGCGUAGGCGGUGCGGUAAGUCACCUGUGAAAUCUCCUGGCUCAACUGGGAGCUUGCAGGCGAAACUGCCGUGCUGGAGUGUGGGAGAGGUGCGUGGAAUUCCUGGUGUAGCGGUGAAAUGCGUAGAUAUCGAGAGGAACACCUGCGGCGAAGGCGGGUUGCUGGGCUGACACUGACGCUGAGGCGCGAAAGCUAGGGGAGCGAACGGG